AGUAGAGUUUCUGGGUCAUGUGGCAAGUGUGUGUUUAACUUUUUAAGGAACUAUCAAACUGUUUUCCAAAGUGGCUGCACCAUUUUGCAUUCCCACAGCAAU
rnacentral:pre_miRNA from 1 species